rnacentral:rRNA from 1 species
UUGGUUAAGUUAGAAAGGGCGCACGGUGGAUGCCUUGGCACUAGGAGCCGAAGAAGGACGGGACUAACACCGAUAUGCUUUGGGGAGCUGUACGUAAGCGUUGAUCCAGAGAUUUCCGAAUGGGGGAACCCACUAUCUUUAGUCGGAUAGUAUCCUUACGUGAAUACAUAGCGUGAGGAAGGCAGACCCAGGGAACUGAAACAUCUAAGUACCUGGAGGAAGAGAAAGAAAAAUCGAUUUCCUGAGUAGCGGCGAGCGAAACGGAAAGAGCCCAAACCAAGAAGCUUGCUUCUUGGGGUUGUAGGACACUCUAUACGGAGUUACAAAAGAAAGUUAUAAAUGAAGCGGUCUGGAAAGGCCCGCCAAAGACGGUAACAGCCCGGUAGUUGAAAUAGCUUUCCCUCCAGAGUGGAUCCUGAGUACGGCGGAACACGUGAAAUUCCGUCGGAAUCCGGGAGGACCAUCUCCCAAGGCUAAAUACUCCCUAGUGACCGAUAGUGAACCAGUACCGUGAGGGAAAGGUGAAAAGCACCCCGGAAGGGGAGUGAAACAGUUCCUGAAACCGUGUGCCUACAAGUAGUUAGAGCCCGUUAAUGGGUGAUAGCGUGCCUUUUGUAGAAUGAACCGGCGAGUUACGAUUUGUUGCAAGGUUAAGCGGAAAAAGCGGAGCCGUAGCGAAAGCGAGUCUGAAUAGGGCGCAUAAGUAACAGGUCGUAGACCCGAAACCAGGUGAUCUACCCAUGUCCAGGAUGAAGGUAAGGUAAUACUUACUGGAGGUCCGAACCCACGCACGUUGAAAAGUGCGGGGAUGAGGUGUGGGUAGCGGAGAAAUUCCAAUCGAACUUGGAGAUAGCUGGUUCUCUCCGAAAUAGCUUUAGGGCUAGCCUCGAGGUAAAGAGUCAUGGAGGUAGAGCACUGUUUGGACUAGGGGCCCUUCUCGGGUUACCGAAUUCAGAUAAACUCCGAAUGCCAUGUACUUAUACUCGGGAGUCAGACUGCGAGUGAUAAGAUCCGUAGUCGAAAGGGAAACAGCCCAGACCACCAGUUAAGGUCCCCAAAUAUAUGUUAAGUGGAAAAGGAUGUGGGGUUGCUUAGACAACCAGGAUGUUGGCUUAGAAG